GGACGAACGCUGGCGGCGUGCUUAACACAUGCAAGUCGAACGCUGAACCCGCUUCGGUGGGGGAUGAGUGGCGAACGGGUGAGUAACACGUGGGCAACCUGCCCCCGGCUCUGGGAUAACUCCAAGAAAUUGGGGCUAAUACCGGAUGUGACCGCUGGCCGCAUGGUCUGGUGGUGGAAAGGGUUUCCGGCUGGGGAUGGGCCCGCGGCCUAUCAGCUUGUUGGUGGGGUAGUGGCCUACCAAGGCGACGACGGGUAGCCGGCCUGAGAGGGUGACCGACCACACUGGGACUGAGACACGGCCCAGACUCCUACGGGAGGCAGCAGUGGGGAAUAUUGCGCAAUGGGCGGAAGCCUGACGCAGCGACGCCGCGUGGGGGAUGACGGCCUUCGGGUUGUAAACCUCUUUCAGCAGGGACGAAGCGCAAGUGACGGUACCUGCAGAAGAAGCACCGGCCAACUACGUG
rnacentral:rRNA from 1 species